UCCGAAGGGGGCUAGCGUUGCUCGGAAUUACUGGGCGUAAAGGGCGCGUAGGCGGCCUGCUAAGUCGAACGUGAAAUCCCUGGGCUCAACCCAGGAACUGCGUCCGAUACUGGUUGGCUUGAAUCCGGGAGAGGGAUGCGGAAUUCCAGGUGUAGCGGUGAAAUGCGUAGAUAUCUGGAGGAACACCGGUGGCGAAGGCGGCAUCCUGGACCGGCAUUGACGCUGAGGCGCGAAAGCGUGGGGAGCAAACAGG
rnacentral:rRNA from 1 species